AUAGUAGGUGCGAUGACCCGGCACGUCCGUCGGCGGGGUGAACGAGGUGCCGGUCCCGACCACCGGGUCCUCAAAAUGCGGCGUGCUGCCCAUGCGCCUCCUCCAAUUGUAAAUCAGCGUCUCGCCGGUGCGGAUCGUCGCGGCGACAGUCAACGUCGGCGCCUGACCGCCAGUGACGAUGAUGGCGCUGGAAGGCGUCGGAUCCGCGGUGAUGAGCGGAUAACUGCUGAAGUCGUACGAUUGGCCGGUGAA
rnacentral:misc_RNA from 1 species